CCUACGGGGGGCAGCAGUGAGGAAUAUUGGUCAAUGGACGAGAGUCUGAACCAGCCAAGUAGCGUGAAGGAUGACUGCCCUAUGGGUUGUAAACUUCUUUUAUAUGGGAAUAAAAUGUUCCACGUGUGGGAUUUUGUAUGUACCAUAUGAAUAAGGAUCGGCUAAAUCCGUGCCAGCAGCCGCGGUAAUACGGAGGAUCCGAGCGUUAUCCGGAUUUAUUGGGGUUAAAGGGAGCGUAGGUGGAUUGUUAAGUCAGUUGUGAAAGUUUGCGGCUCAACCGAAAAAUUGCAGUUGAAACUGGCAGUCUAGAGUACAAGAGAGGUGCGCGGAAUUCGAGGUGUAGCGGUGAAAUGCUUAGAUAUCACGAAGAACUCCGAUUGCGAAGGCAGCUCACUGGACUGCAACUGACACUGAGGCUCGAAAGUGUGGGUAUCAAACAGGAUUAGAUACCCUGGUAGUC
rnacentral:rRNA from 1 species